GUCGGGAGUUAGGAAUGCAUGGAUGUUAAUAGCGUUCUUGCUUGACUAAGGCUCCGGAGGAAGCCACGGCUAACUCUGUGCCCGCAGCCGCGGUAAUACAGAGGCGGCAAGCGUUGUUCGGAAUUAUUGGGCGUAAAGAGCACGUAGGCGGCUGUGUAAGUCGGUUGUGAAAGCCUUCCGCUCAACGGAAGAACGGCAUCCGAUACUGCAUGGCUUGAGUGUGGGAGGGGAGAGUGGAACUUCUGGU
rnacentral:rRNA from 1 species